UACGUAGGGCGCAAGCGUUUGUCCGGAAUUAUUGGGCGUAAAGAGCUUGUAGGCGGUUUGUCGCGUCUGCUGUGAAAUUUCGGGGCUCAACCCCGAACUUGCAGUGGGUACGGGCAGACUAGAGUGUGGUAGGGGAGACUGGAAUUCCUGGUGUAGCGGUGAAAUGCGCAGAUAUCAGGAGGAACACCGGUGGCGAAGGCGGGUCUCUGGGCCGAUACUGACGCUGAGGAGCGAAAGCGUGGGGAGCGAACAGG
rnacentral:rRNA from 1 species